UGUCCCCACAGGCCCCUCCUUCCUUGUCCCAAGGCAUCCCUUCCAGUCAGGUUCAUUCCUGGCCAUUACUCUGUCCCCUUACCCUUUGAUUCCUUUCAGAUGGGUGAAUUAUUAUAUGAACGGAUCCAAUUUCAAAGCCCUUUUUGGCCUAGCAGACUCAGCCUCUCGUCCCUCGGGUUUGGAGUCAGGAUGCCGCUUGGAUCCCCCGUUCUCUACCUUGACCAUCCAUCACCAUGAUGGCACCUUCUUUCCCAAAGACCUUGGAGGGUUCAAACAGAAAGUUCAUGAAGACCCUUGGAGAGUGAGAAGAGAGGAAAGCAAUGAGAUCACUGAGGAAGGAAGGUACUCGGUCUGUUUCAAGGAAACUGAUUCUUCCGCCAUCCCAAUGACAUAGAUUAAAAUAAGAACCACCCACAGCCUUAUAUUUAGGAGCUACAGAGUUCAGCUGGUUGGCUAACCUGGCCAGAGUGCACGCCCUAAGGGAGCUUCCGAAGCUCCAUCAGAAUUCUAUCCACUUCACAAAUGAGGCAAGGAGCACAGGCUGCUUUGUCCAAGAUGAUGAAGCUGAGGUCCAUGGGUUUUCCCUGUGGUUCUGAUUCUUCUUUACAACAUGACUAAUGUGGAAAUAUGUUUAAUAUGAUUGUACAUGUAGAACCUAU